CACGUAGGGCGCAAGCGUUGUCCGAAAUUAUUGGGCGUAAAGAGCUCGUAGGCGGACUGUCACGUCUGCUGUGAAAAGCUAGGGCUUAACCCUGGCCUUGCAGUGGAUACGGGCAGACUAGAGGUAGGUAGGGGAGAAUGGAAUUUACGGUGUAGCGGUGAAAUGCGUAGAUAUCGUAAGGAAGAACCAGUGGCGAAGGCGGGUCUCUGGACAAGUUCCUGACGCUGAGGCACGAAGGUCAGGGGGAGCAAAA
rnacentral:rRNA from 1 species